GGCUAUUUAUGUAAGACCACAGUGAUACAGUCCUUUUAGGAAGAUUCUAUAAGAAGGAAAAAAUAGGUUAAGAUUCUCCAUUACAUAAGCUUUACAUAAUACUUUAGAUGAAAUUUGUAAAAAGGUAAACUGAUCAUUAUAAUCUUUUUAGAGGGAGAGAACUUAGAAGACAUUUCAGCGAUAGCCCCACAUAGACUAAAAUCGAGGGAUAGUGAAAAACCGUGCAGUUCCUCAAAAAGUUAAACAGUUACCAUACCAGCAGUUCCACUCUUAAGUAUAAACCUAAGAGAAGUGAAAACACAUGCACACAGAAACUGGUACACAAAUGUUCAAAGUAGCACCAUUCAUAAUAGCCAAAAAGUAGAAACCACUCAAAAGUCCAUCAACUGAUAAAUGGAUACAAUGUGGUAUAUCCAUACAAUGAAAUAUUAUGUAGUCAUAAAAAGGAAUGAAGUACUCAUACAUGCUACAAAUUGAGCCUUGAAAACAUGCUAAGUUAAUGAAGCUAGACACAAAGGCCACACCUUGAACGAAACGUCCAGAAGAGGCAAACGAGACAGAUGAGUGUUUGCCAGGGUCUGAGAGGAGAGGAGAAUGGGGAGUAACUACUAAUCGGUACAGGGUUUCUUGUCAAUGUUCUUAAAUUAAUAGUGGUGAUGGUUAUACAACUCUAGAUAUGCUAAAACCACUAAAUUAUACACUUUAAAACAAUUUUAUGGAAUGCAAACUAUAGCUCAGUUUAAAAAAUGUUUCUUUUUUUAAGGAUAUAGUAAAUCCUAUUUUUAAGUCUCUCAAAAGAUAGAAGUAUCUUUGGAAGUUACCUACAUUCUUAAUUAUCUAACAAACAUUCAGUAAAUUCUUGAGUGCCUGCUGUGCAUGGAAAUAUUUACUGCAUGCUAGAUACUGAAGAUACAGUGGUGAAUUAAAUUAUUUCUAUCUUCAAGGAACUUAGAGUCUAGGAAGCACGUACUAUGUGGCAGCUGUUGUAGUGUUUUGUAUUUUAUUUAAUCGUCGCAAUAGUAAGUCCUAUUAAGAACUUAAGUAUGUGCUGUUAUCCCUACUUUAUACAGAAGCUUUGCCCCAGGUCACACAAGUAAGUGAAAGAUGCAAGAUUCGAACCCAGGCAGCCUGGUUCCUGAGCAAGCACUCUGUCAUUAUGCUUCACAGAAAAGCAUGAAGAAACUAUUUUACAGCCACGUUUUAGAAUGAAGACUGAUGCAGAGGGAGACACUAAUCAAGAUCAUUUAGAAUCGUACAGAGGAAGACGAAGUAAAACCUGAAAUGUACUCCUUACGUGGUUUCUUCUAAAUAAUACCAACCACUUAAGAGUGAGAUCUCUAGGGAAGGGGAUUAACAAAUUUUAACUUUCUACAUAAUAAUCUUUUCAGUAUUUGAAUGUUUUACAGUAUCAUUUUACACUUUAAAAAACUAAAAUGGCUCAUACGUAUGCAAAAUAUAUUUGGGGAUUUGAGCCGUCCAUUCAUUCAGAUGUAUAUUCUUUUUGCUGAUUAUAUUGUUCUCCAGCUGUCCUGAUGGGUUUCCAUCCUGCAGAGAGUAACAGGCACCGUGGUGCUCCCAGGACCCCACGGACUUCAGCUCCCCAGCAGGCACUGCUCCCUACCCAGAAACUCAGCUGACUGACAGCUGGCUGGCAUGUUCCAUCUUGUGACGGAGGAACUGUGAUAGUUCGGGUACCACGCUGGCAGAAAGCCAUGACCAAGGUCCAGCGGACGACGGGGCUGGUGAGGGGGUUAGGAUGAGAAAAGACGGAAGGAGAAGGAUCUUUAGCCAGAAGAGCUGAAGAUUAUGAACGACACGUGAAGACGGCUACUUUCAAGUAUCUGAAGGGCUAUCUCAUUUGGUUAGUAAUCAUACUUGUUCUCCUUGUCUCCAAAGGGGGAUGUAAGAAAAUGAGAAGGAGAUUUUAGUCACUGUGAGGAAGAAGGUUCGAGGAGGUACUUUGAGACUGGACAGCCUCAGGAAGGGACCUGCUGCUUAUUUCUGAAGGGGUUAAAGAAGAAACUAACGACUUCAUGGGGACACCAUAGAAGACAUUCAGCAAUUAAUGCCUGGACUGUGAGGCCCUUCCAACCUUUAGAUUUGAUACCAAUGACAACAACAAAAUAAAUUCUGAGACAGACAGAAGGCACAGAAAAUUGUCAUUUCCGUAAAACUAACUACAACACUUUCCAAACCCAUGGUCAUAAGAGUGUUAGUUCCUUAAAAAGGAAAACAGAAAAGCCAUUUUAUUCCCCAGUCUAAGUUGAAUUACUCAUUUUUCUCUGUCAUUUCUUUUAGUUCCAGCCUGUUUUUUUUUAAGACCCUGGUCCUGUGUGAGCAGUGCAGCUUUGCAGGGCUACUUUAAAUUAAGAAUAAUUAAGCCAUUUUCAUCUUAAGUCUACAGGAAAAGCUAGACGUGCCCUGUGUGUAACUCCAUAACCAUUCGUGCUAAUCUGAACUGUCAUCUGAAGGUGAAAAUCACAGGAUGACAGUUCACGUUUCCUGGCACAGAUCACACAGAGACUGGGGCAGACACCUGACAAAUUGCUAACCCCUGGCUCCAGACUGCAGGGCCAUGGUAGGAUAUCCUAGCAUUUUCCAAAACAGCCCAAAUGUUCUCUCGAGAAGUUUAACCCUUUAAAAUAAAUGAUCAGUUUCAGAUGAAUAGUGAAUAAAAGGCAUCAUUUUCACACGAGAUGCAUAUGUGAUACACCGAGUCCAGGUUCUUUACUCACAAGCUGAAACCGAUGUCCAAAGCUGAGCCAUUCUUUUUCCACAAGGACUUCAAAGCCCCGGAUGGUUCGAUAGUACCCAUCCAGCAUGAGCAUGGCCAGGGAGGUGAGCUGAGCCGUGCGGUCCCAGCCAUCGCUGCAGUGUACGACCACUGACGUCUUUCCUGACUCCACCUUGUCAGCAAUCCGAAGAGCCCCUGCAAGAAUAAGCUGCAAAACAGAUUUUUUAAAUGAAAUUUUUAAUAAAGUAACUUCCUUCUUCAAAAUUUACUAACAGGGUUUUGUUAGAGAUGACUGUCUCAAUAACUUGUGGAGGAAAAAAAUAUCAGUCCCUUCCUAAAAAGAAUUUUUGUAAAUGGUAGAAGAUACAUAAAUUCUACUUUUAAAACUAUAAAAAUCUCAUAAAUGCAGACUCCUAUUAGUCUGCACAAUGAAAGGUACCUUUGGAUUCUAAACAAAUCAAGACUAUGAGUACGAGGACAAAGGAUUAACUUCUAAAGAGAUCUGUUUCAACUAUUCCAACAUCAUCCGUUUAAAUAAAAAUAAUACACCAACUGAAGGCAUCUGUUAUUUAAACAAUACUCAAUCAAAUUAGAAUAGAUAUGAAAGCAGUAAAACUGGAUAUUCUAAAAUAUUCUGUAACUUCUAUAGCAUUUAUUUUGCUGUUUUUAUAUAUGUCACACAGCAUACAACAAGUACAACUGCUUUUUUGUAUCAGAUAUAUUACCAUGUCAAUUUAGCUGGUAUCUAAAAUAGUUUAUUUUCUUUUAAGAUGUAGAUAUUCUUUGCAAAGUUAAUUUUGAGUUAAAACUAGACAGGAUUAGAUGUAAGCAAAAAGAAACACAGAACUGUAAUAUCCUUUAAAAUGAACAAUAUAUCCCCAUUCUUCUCUGCAGUGGCCAUGUCACACUUAAAGAACAGCAUGAUUCCACAAAUGUGUAUCAGAAUGAAAGGAAAGAUACACUAGGCUUGGAGAAUCUAAUGAUGACCUUCUUUUUUAUCAUAACUGCAGGCAUAUUCUGGAAAUGGGGUUCGCUGAAGCAAUCUCAAUCCUGACUGGGCAUCAGAGUCAUCUGUGGGCAUUAAAAAAAAAAAGCCUGGUCCCCAU